CCAAGGAAGGAACCUGCACAGCCUCUCCCCUUUAGGAAUCAGUAAAGUUGGAAAAUACCUCCAAGAUCAUUAAGUCCAACAUUCAAUUUUAAUUCCAACUUGUGCCUCUUGUCUCUCAUCUUCUUGCCAAGCAGACUGCAGAACGAAGUGUAACCCGUGUGACAAGAAGGGAUGGGGGAGAGACUGAGCCCUGGGACUGUGGUAGUAAACGGAACUACAUGAGGAAACAUCCUCAUCCUUUGUGGUCCCUGGCUUAGGGAUGGCUGGAGUUAUGUACAUUCACUCCAGUUGACCUGGAAGAAGAAAUUGAGCCGUGGAAGAAGGUCUUUGACCAUGGUAAUGUGGGAAGAAUAUAAAGAUGUAUGGAAUUCCCAGCUGAAUGCAGUUAUGCUGAAGAGAGAGUUAUGUUUAUCCAUAACAACAAGAAAAUCUUUUGAAGCAUAGUUUAAAGCUGACAGACAAAACCAAUAUUUGCUGCAUAAUGGCAGCAAAAUUGCAUUUGUAAAACACAACUAAUAAAACUGAGAUCUACUACUGCUUAAAAAGGAGCAGGUCAAA